AAACUCAGGACCUUGCGCUUGCGAGGCAGGUGUGGUGCCCCUGAGCUACAUCCCUGGCCCUCUUGUUUGUUUCUUCUAAGCCACCACCACAACAGAUAUUUUAAGGCAUUCAAUGUAAUGAAGCCAGGGAAAGAUUCCUGUAAUCUGGAAGUAAGCUGUUUCCAGUAAAAUACCUUGGUAGGAAAUCCCUGACCUGCAGUCCCUUUGGGGCAAGCGCUGUGGAGAAGUUCCUCUGUGUGAUUAUUUAGUACAUGAUCCUUGUCCCUGGAUAUCUGGUAGGACUCCUUCAGGGUUUUUCUUUUGGGAUGUGUGUAUGCAGUUGUUCCUCAAUCCAGCCCGUAUAAAUACAAGAAAUCCUGAGGAAACAAACUUUUUAGUACUUUACCAUGAGAGGAACUGACUUAUGGCGAUCAGUCAUCCCCUUUUCAUUCACUUUUGUGUCUGGCCAUCAGGGUAAUAAUGGUAAUUAGCUAACAUCAGACUGGUUGAACAACAAUGCCCACAAGAUAUUAGUUGAUGACAAGACACCAUCAGGAUUCGGCACUUGAUCCUAGCUAAGUGUUUUUAAAGCAACUUGUGAAGACUGAUUAUAAAAUUUAUCCGGCAUUUGUUGGAAAGAACCAUUGGUGGUAUUGAGGCUUGGCAGAAAGCUUGGCAUAUGGUAGAAAGUCAAUGAAUCUUUGUUGGGGAACAGAGUGAUUGAAAACUGAGCAGAAGACUCUCAUGCGAAACCAGAGAAACUCUUCCAUAUGGAUCUGCAGGGAUUAUAUUAUUUCAAGUAGUUUUAGUCAGCACCUUAGAGAUCAACUGCUGAGAAAAAGUGCCCUGUGAGAAGAAAUCUGUCUUCUAAUCAAAUUGCUUCAGCUGCC
rnacentral:lncRNA from 1 species